AUUUAUUUUGCUGUGUUCUGUGCUGUUCAAAAGGUGGUGCAGAGAAGUGGAGGGGAGAGAGCUAAAAAAGAAAGCUGGUAAACGCAUCGGAAGUUACGGAACUCUUACCACCAUUUUGAAACAAGUCCUAUGCAAACAGCCAAAGAAAAAGUAGCAGACAAAGCAGUCUCUUCCGCAUACUAAAAGACAUGAGACAUGAAAAUGGGAAUUGGCAUUUGCAACAGGUGUAGUAUUUGGAACAAUUUCAGCAUUUCCAUUUCAAGGUUCAGGACGAGGAAGGAGCUACUGGGAUCUGGACUCUGCAGGGGCAGGACCCCAAAAAUAAAGCCCUGAUUUCCCACACCUCCCGCCCCAGAGCAAACAGCAGACUCUCUUUCCUUCUGCCAUCAACGAACGUCUGGGUCUCGCUAAAGAGCCACCACACUCUGCUACAUUCCAGAUGUUUGCAUACAAAAAUAAAAGCAAUUGACUCCUGAAAAGCUGAUGGAAAUGAAAAGGCGACAGAGAAAAGUUAU